CUGUGGUGCAUUGUAGUUGCAUUGCAUGUCAUGCUCUCACAGUGCAAUGGAUCUGCUCUGCAACACAG